rnacentral:lncRNA from 1 species
UAACUUUGGCAUUGUACUUUUUAAUUACAGCGGAGACUUCCAUGGCCUCCCGAGUAAAAGCCUGCUAUGGCCUUUGCUUUCAGAAAGCAGACAAGGGUGCAGCUCCCAAUCUACCUCUGGGGCUUGAAAAACAUCCUGGAAUUGGGAGGAAGUGGAUGUCUAGUUCAUGGCCACCUUUGAUUCUACACUCUUACCUGCAGCCAUGCACCCCUCUUUGCUAAUCUUCAGCCACCAGGUUUGUUUUUUAUUGAAGUAUUGUUGAUUUACAAUAUUGUGUUAGUUUUAGGUGUACAGCAUAGUGAUGCAGUAUUUUGGGAGAUUAUAUUUCAUUAUAGGUUUUACAAGGGUAUAAUUUCUUGUGCUAUACAGUAAAUCCUUGUAGCAUAUCUAUUUUAAAACUAGUAGUUUUUAUCUGUUAAUCCACACCCCUACUUUGUCCCUCCCCACCCCUCUCCCUUUUGGUAACCACAAGUUUAUUUUCUAUGUCUGUGAGUCUCUUUCUGCUUUGCAUAUACAUUCGUUUGUAUUAUUUUUUAGAUUCCACAUAUAAGUGAUAUCAUAUAGUAUUUGUCUUUCUCUGUGUGACUUAUUUCACUAAGCGUAAUCUUCCCUAGGCACAUCCACGUUGCUGUAAAUGGCAGUAUUUUAAGAUUUAAUUUGUUUAGAGAUGUUCACAGCAAAACCGAGGGGAAGGUAUGGAGAGUUCCCAUAUACCCCCUGCCCUACACAUGCACAGCCUCCCUAUUAUCAACAUGCCCCACCAGAGUGGGACAUUUG